rfam:Echinostoma caproni strain Egypt genome assembly, scaffold: ECPE_scaffold0017268
GGCCUCGUAGCUCAGCUGGUAGAGCAUGCGCGUACAAAGCGUAGGCGGUGUCCAUGCGUGGGUUCGAAUCCCACCGAGGCUA